rnacentral:rRNA from 2 species
GGGUUGUGAGGUUAAGCGACUAAGCGUACACGGUGGAUGCCCUGGCAGUCAGAGGCGAUGAAGGGCGUACUAAUCUGCGAUAAGCGCCGGUAAGGUGAUAUGAACCGUUAUAACCGGCGAUACCCGAAUGGGGAAACCCAGUGUGAUUCGUCACACUAUCAUUAACUGAAUCCAUAGGUUAAUGAGGCGAACCGGGGGAACUGAAACAUCUAAGUACCCCGAGGAAAAGAAAUCAACCGAGAUUCCCCCAGUAGCGGCGAGCGAACGGGGAGGAGCCCAGAGCCUGAAUCAGCAUGUGUGUUAGUGGAAGCGUCUGGAAAGGCGCGCGAUACAGGGUGACAGCCCCGUACACAAAAGCGCAUGUGCUGUGAGCUCGAUGAGUAGGGCGGGACACGUGGUAUCCUGUCUGAAUAUGGGGGGACCAUCCUCCAAGGCUAAAUACUCCUGACUGACCGAUAGUGAACCAGUACCGUGAGGGAAAGGCGAAAAGAACCCCGGCGAGGGGAGUGAAAAAGAACCUGAAACCGUGUACGUACAAGCAGUGGGAGCACAGGUUUACCUGUGUGACUGCGUACCUUUUGUAUAAUGGGUCAGCGACUUAUAUUCUGUAGCAAGGUUAACCGAAUAGGGGAGCCGGAGGGAAACCGAGUCUUAAU